GAGCGGAGGACGGGUGAGUAACACGUGGGUAACUGCCCAUNAAGACUGGGAUAACUCCGGGAAACCGGGGCUAAUACCGGAUAACAUUUUGAACCGCAUGGUUCGAAAUUGAAAGGCGGCUUCGGCUUCACUUAUGGAUGGACCCGCGUCGCAUUAGCUAGUUGGUGAGGUAACGGCUCACCAAGGCAACGAUGCGUASCGACCUGAGAGGGUGAUCGGCCACACUGGGACUGAGACACGGCCCAGACUCCUACGGAGGCAGCAGUAGGGAAUCUUCCGCAAUGGACGAAAGUCUGACGGAGCAACGCCGCGUGAGUGAUGAAGGCUUUCGGGUCGUAAAACUCUGUUGUUAGGGAAGAACAAGUGCUAGUUGAAUAAGCUGCACCUUGACGGUACCUAACCAGAAAGCCACGGCUAACUACGUGCCAGCAGCCGCGGUAAUACGUAGGUGGCAAGCGUUAUCCGGAAUUAUUGGGCGUAAAGCGCGCGCAGGUGGUUUCUUAAGUCUAUGUGAAAGCCCACGGCUCAACCGUGGAGGGUCAUUUGGAAACUGGGGAGACUUGAGUGCAGAAGAGGAAAGUGGGAAUUCCAUGUGUAGCGGUGAAAUGCGUAGAGAUAUGGGAGGAACACCA
rnacentral:rRNA from 1 species